CCUACGGGUGGCUGCAGUGGGGGAUAUUGGUCAAUGGGGGCAACCCUGAUCCAGCGACGCCGCGUGAGUGAUGACUUAUCUCGGUAUGUAAAGCUCUUUCACCAGAGAAGUAAGAAAUGACGGUACCUGAGUUCUAAGCCCCGGCUAACUACGUGCCAGCAGCCGCGGUAAUACGUAGGGGGCAAGCGUUCUCCGGAAUUACUGGGUGUAAAGGGAGCGUAGACGGGAAUGGAAGUCUGGAGUGAAAGGCGGGGGCCCAACCCCCGGACUUCUCUGGAUACUGUGUGACUGGAGUACAGGAGAGGUAGGCGGAAUUCGUGGUGUAGCGGUGAAAUGCGUAGAUAUUAGGAAGAACACCGAUGGCGAAGGCAGCCUGCUAAACUGUAACUGACGUUGAGGCUCGAAAGCGUGGGGAGCAAACAGGAUUAGAUACCCCUGUAGUC
rnacentral:rRNA from 1 species